GUUUAUAUAGUUUAAUUAAAACAUUGAUUUGUGGUAUCAAAAAUAUAUUUAUAUUAUUAUAAACC
rnacentral:tRNA from 1 species